rnacentral:rRNA from 1 species
UACAGAGGUCCCAAGCGUUGUUCGGAUUCAUUGGGCGUAAAGGGUGCGUAGGCGGCGCGGUAAGUCGGGUGUGAAAUCUCGGAGCUAAACUCCGAAACUGCAUUCGAUACUGCCGUGCUUGAGGACUGGAGAGGAGACUGGAAUUUACGGUGUAGCGGUGAAAUGCGUAGAUAUCGUAAGGAAGACCAGUGGCGAAGGCGGGUCUCUGGACAGUUCCUGACGCUGAGGCACGAAGGCCAGGGGAGCAAACGGG